rnacentral:rRNA from 1 species
UACGUAGGGGGCAAGCGUUGUCCGGAUUCAUUGGGCGUAAAGAGCGUGUAGGCGGCCAGGCAGGUCCGCUGUGAAAACUCGAGGCUCAACCUCGAGAUGUCGGUGGAAACCGUCUGGCUAGAGUCCGGAAGAGGAGAGUGGAAUUCCCGGUGUAGCGGUGAAAUGCGCAGAUAUCGGGAAGAACACCCGUGGCGAAGGCGGUUACCUGGAGCUUUGCUGACGCUGAUGCGCGAAAGCGUGGGGAGCGAUCCGG